rnacentral:rRNA from 1 species
GUGAGGAAUAUUCCGCAAUGGGGGAAACCCUGACGGAGCAAUGCCGCGUGCAGGAUGAAGGCCCUCGGGUCGUAAACUGCUUUUAUAUGAGAAGAAUAUGACGGUAACAUAUGAAUAAGGGACGGCUAACUACGUGCCAGCAGCCGCGGUCAUACGUAGGUCCCAAGCGUUAUCCGGAGUGACUGGGCGUAAAGAGUUGCGUAGGCGGCUCGUUAAGCGUGAAAUGAAAUUUAUCGGCUCAACCGGUAAACUAUUUCGCGAACUGACGGGCUCGAGAGUAUGAGAGGUUACUGGAAUUUCUAGUGUAGCAGUGAAAUGCGUAGAUAUUAGAAAGAACACCAACGGCGUAGGCAGGUAACUGGCAUACAUCUGACGCUGAGGCACGAAAGCGUGGGGAGCGAACCGGAUUAGAUACCCCGGUAGUCC